AUACGUAGGGUGCAAGCGUUAAUCGGAAUUACUGGGCGUAAAGCGUGCGCAGGCGGUUUUGUAAGACAGUGGUGAAAUCCCCGGGCUCAACCUGGGAACUGCCAUUGUGACUGCAAGGCUGGAGUGCGGCAGAGGGGGAUGGAAUUCCGCGUGUAGCAGUGAAAGGCGUAGAUAUGCGGAGGAACACCGAUGGCGAAGGCAAUCCCCUGGGCCUGCGCUGACGCUCAUGCACGAAAGCGUGGGGAGCAAACAGGAUUAGAUACCCUGGUAGUCCACGCCCUAAACGAUGUCAACUGGUUGUUGGGGAUUUAUUUUCUCAGUAACGAAGCUAACGCGUGAAGUUGACCGCCUGGGGAGUACGGCCGCAAGGUUAAAACUCAAAUGAAUUGGCGGGG
rnacentral:rRNA from 1 species